rnacentral:rRNA from 1 species
GACGAACCGUGCGAACGUUAUUCGGAAUCACUGGGCUUAAAGCGCGUGUAGGCGGCUUGGUAAGUCUGCUCUGAAAGCCCGGGGCUCAACCCCGGGAGGCGGGUGGAUACUGUCAAGCUCGAGUCCGGAAGAGGAGUGUGGAAUUCCUGGUGUAGCGGUGGAAUGCGCAGAUAUCAGGAGGAACACCAAUAGCGAAGGCAGCUCGCUGGGACGUUACUGACACUGAGGCGCGAAAGCGUGGGGGAGCGAACAGG